rnacentral:rRNA from 1 species
UACGGGGGGGGGCAAGCGUUGUUCGGAAUUACUGGGCGUAAAGGGCUCGUAGGCGGCCAACUAAGUCCGACGUGAAAUCCCCAGGCUUAACCUGGGAACUGCGUCGGAUACUGGAUGGCUUGAAUUCGGGAGAGGGAUGCAGAAUUCCAGGUGUAGCGGUGAAAUGCGUAGAUAUCUGGAGGAACACCGGUGGCGAAGGCGGCAUCCUGGACCGGUAUUGACGCUGAUGCGCGAAAGCCAGGGGAGCAAACGGG